ensembl:processed_transcript 9130024F11Rik RIKEN cDNA 9130024F11 gene
AGGCGCACUGGUCCCGGCGCGCAGGCUGCGGCGACUAGGCGGGCGCUCCUUGUCGCGGCUCGCCGCAGAGGCGCAGGCUGGCGCUCGGGAGGCGGCAGAGGCUGCCUCGUCUCCGGGCUCUGUUAAUUGCGCCGCCGAGUACUUUCGACUUUGGAGAUAGGAGGGCGAUCGCCUCCCCCACCCACCGCCUCCGCCCACCACCCACCGCCUCCGCCCCUCGGAGCAACUUUUCUCGGUGCGAGCGAGCUCCCCAUCUGCUUGGAGCCGACCGUCCCGGCCCGCUGCGCUCCCGGCCGCGUUUGGGGAAAGGCCACUUCUCCCUCAAAUCCCGUGCGGCCGCGGGUCCGGAACAAUAGCCCGGGUGUCCCGAACGCUUGGAGCGAGACUCCGCCCGUCCGGGUGGCUGUGGGUCCGGCACUGGAGAAAGGGUUGCUCCGUGGGCACAAGGCAGGCUGCAUCCCUGCCACUCUCGCCACGCGGGCUACGUUGCGAGCGGCGCAGCCCGAGCUGCCUGGAGGCCAGAACACUGUGCUGGCCGGGGCGCUGAAGCUGCGCGCCCCUCGGCUUGCAGCACUGGGGCUCCCGAAGACCCUCAGCGGCUGAGGACCGAGUUCGGCGCGAGCAGAGCUGAGCCGUGGGGACCUAGCCUCUCCGCCCCGAGCGAGGCCGCGCCGAUGAGUCCCUAGCUGGUCCUUCUAAGGCUUAGGAGCCACAAACUUUUGCGGACUCCCGCGGCCCUAGCCUUUCGGCUUGCGCAGCUUUACUUGUUUAAGGUGGCGCGGUGACUGCCCGCCAAAACCCCGCUGCGGGCCGCGCUUUUGUCUUGGCCAUUCGGCUUGGGCGCGGACCUCCUUAAAAAAAAAAAAAAAAAAAAAAAAGCACGUGGGCAGGGGCCGCGGCCCCGGCGAGGUGCCUGCCGCGUCCAGCGUCUGUCAGCCCCUGGAACUUCAGAGGAGAAAAAAUGAACCAGUCCUCUCCGGCCAUCCGGCCAGAGAUGCCCCUUGAGCCGGCGGCAUCUCUUGUCCCUUCUGUGCACCGGGGCUUUCCCUCCAGUUCCCCAGGACCCCAAGGACUCGGCUUCCACCGGUUGCCUGAGCCACUAGUCCCCCUUAAGAAGUAUUGACUGUACGGCGGCGCCAGAGGGCCAAACUAAAUUCGGUUUCGGGAAAACGCGCUCGAGGCAAUUCUCUAAAUCCUGGCCUUGAGCUGGGCCAGUGGAGGUUGAAUCUGAGAGUAGAGCUGGAGACUGGGCUGCUAUCCACUUGCUUGGUAACCUACCCAAUUGACCCCACAACGCCCCAAGAGUCGCAAACCCACGGCCAGGGAAGCCUAAGGGCUUCUAAAAGAAAGAGGGUCCCCGAAACGAAACCUGUCCCUGGCCUAGAUCUCGGGGCCCAGACCUCGGUGAGUCCCACUCAAAGGAGCCGCCCACCAACUUCACCAGAAGCCCCAGGCGGCAAGGGGAGCCUAACAGAGCGGAGCCGAGCCGAGCCGAGCCGAGCCUGGCAGGGUAGUAAUCCUCCAGGGAGCCAUCGCAGUUUUAGGAAGCCUUUUUCUUUUCCCUGUUUUUUUUCCUUCCCCAAAUUCCGUGCUCCCACGAACAUGCCCAGCCAAAGGGGCUAGAGAAAAUUCCAAGCCCGUGAAAGCAAAGUGGCUCAAGUAAAACCAACCCUUGAAGGUAGCUGAAAGGUUGGAGGGUUUUUUUUGUUUGUUUUGUUUUUUGUUUUUUUGUUUUGUUGUUUUUUUUUUUUUAAGCAAUGAAAGAAAGAAACUGUAAGUUUGAUCUAAAAACUUUAAAAAAGAACAAUGUUAUAGCAAAUCGAAAUGAGAAGGGGUGUUUCAAAAACUUAGCUAUCGCUGUCAAACUAAGCCUGCUUUUUAAAUUGGAAGUGCAUAUAUUUUAUUUAUACACUAACUGUAUUAACCCCCCUCCCACCCCGUUUUCUGUCUUACCUUGGUGUUGGAACUACAGAAUCCACCUCCGGCCCAAUGUCCAGGAACUAAGAAGAAUUGAUGAUAUUAGGACUUGAGGACUUCUGGAAAAAAAAUGCAAAUCGUUUAGUGGGGAUCUUUUUUGUCUGAUUCGUCACUAUUAUUAUAUCUGAUGAUGCGAUGGUUGGAACGAUUCUAUCCUGUCAUUAAUGAGCUAUUUUAUAAAAAUCACUGUCGGAAAAUCAUCAUUUGCGUUUUGCUAAGGAUCUCUUCGCUAACCUCACUGGCUUGUGUCAACAAUAUAAUUAUGAACUUCAGCUUCACUCUUAUAAACAACACGGCAGUAUUGUUUAAUCGGUUAAUAUUUUAUAAAGUGUACAUAUUUUAUUAUGCUUUGAGGGGAAUUAUUGAUACUAAAUUAUUUUUAAAAACAGAAAGUCUAUUUAAAUAAAACAUACAAUUAAAUUCAAUUAAAUGUGCACUGUGGCUAGAUUCUACACCCUUUCAAAUUCAUUAUUUCUUUUGUCUAUUUUUGAUAAUGAAAAGAAAAUCUACCAUUUGGAACAAGUAAUUCUAAAUUAUUUAAAAUUACAUUUUAAAAAUUAAACAAAUUACAUUUAAUAUACAUGAAAAUGUGUAAUUCGAUGUCAUUACCAAAAGUGUACUUUGAAUGUUGGCAGAUUUAUUUUUAGUAGAGCAUUUUCAAAUUUCUCUCAUUUCAUAAAAGGAGAAUUCUAGAAAGUUUUGCCAUGCAUACCCAGUGUGAAUUUUUCCCUGUAGUUUUAACCCGGAUAAAGGCCUUUUCUGUUUCAAGUGACAUGUUUUUCCCAAUCCAGUUUUGUUAACUUCAUUUCAGCUAAAGCAAAUAAUUUCAAACACUUCUAAUUACUACAGUAAUUUAUAUUUUAAAUAAUAAUUUUAAACCAUUUGUCAUUUUCAUUUUUAAAAACAGUGAAUAAAUAUAUUUGAUGAUGAU